AUUCGUUUUUGUUUUAAUUUCUGAGAAACAUUUAAAGGACCACUAUAGGCACCCAGACCCCUUCAGCUUAAUGAAGUGGUCUGGGUGCUAGGUCCAUCUAGGAUUAACCCUGCCUCCUGUUAUCUGCUAUGAUUACUUUAGUGUUAAUCCAGCCUCUGGUGGCUGUCUCAUUGAUUUUCAUGCCGCGCAUGCGUAUUCAGCCGAUGACGACCGAAGGAGGAG